CUCGAAGCCGCUGCCGCUGCCCUCACUUCAGCGGCUGCCAGCUCCUCCCGCUCGUGGGGUCGCGGCGCGCAGCUGAUCCUAAGCUCCUUGGGUUCAGAGAGAAUAGAGAAUUCCUUGUCACACACUUCAGUCAUUUCCUACUGGAAUGAAUAGAGAAACAGAUACGCCCCAGUGUGACAGUAUUUGGAGGAGAGGCUUUUUCAAGGUAACUGAGUUUAGAUGAGGACACGAGGAUUGGGUCCUUGUGAUGCGAUCAGUGCCCUUGUAAGACAAGACACCAGAAAGGUCUCUCUCUCUUUCUCGUCUUGUACACACAAAGAAGAGGUCACGUGAGCACACAGUGAGAAGACAGCCACUUGCAAGCCAGAAAGAGUUCUCUCACCAAAACCCGGUCAUGCUACUCUCAGACUUCCAACCUCCAGGACUAUGACAAAUACAUUUCUAUUAUUUAACAAAUA